AUUGAACGCUGGCGGCAUGCUUUACACAUGCAAGUCGAACGGUAACAGGGAGCUUGCUCCGCUGACGAGUGGCGAACGGGUGAGUAAUGCGUCGGAACGUGCCGAGUAGUGGGGGAUAACGCAUCGAAAGGUGUGCUAAUACCGCAUACGUACUGAGGUAGAAAGUGGGGGACCUUCGGGCCUCACGCUAUUCGAGCGGCCGACGUCUGAUUAGCUAGUUGGUGAGGUAAAGGCUCACCAAGGCGACGAUCAGUAGCGGGUCUGAGAGGAUGAUCAGCCACACUGGGACUGAGACACGGCCCAGACGCCUACGGGAGUGAGCAGUGGGGAAUUUUGGACAAUGGGCGCAAGCCUGAUCCAGCCAUGCCGCGUGUCUGAAGAAGGCCUUCGGGUUGUAAAGGACUUUUGUCCGGGAGCAAAUGCCUGGUGUUAAUAGCACUGGGAGCUGAGAGUACCGGAAGAAUAAGCACCGGCUAACUACGUGCCAGCCGCCGCCGUAAUAC
rnacentral:rRNA from 1 species